rnacentral:rRNA from 1 species
UAAGUUCCUUGGAACAGGACGUCAUAGAGGGUGAGAAUCCCGUAUGGUUAUAGCCUAGCUCGUGUAAAGCUCUUUCGACGAGUCGAGUUGUUUGGGAAUGCAGCUCAAAAUGGGUGGUAAAUUUCAUCUAAAGCUAAAUAUUGGCCAGAGACCGAUAGCGCACAAGUAGAGUGAUCGAAAGAUGAAAAGCACUUUGGAAAGAGAGUUAAACAGUACGUGAAAUUGUUGAAAGGGAAGCGUUGGCAAUCAGACUUACCCCGAUUACUCAGCCUGGAUUCUUCCAGGUGUAUUUGAUCGAUGUAGGCCAGCAUCGGUUUCGGUGGCGGGACAAACCCAGGGGAACGUAGCUCUUCGGAGUGUUAUAGCCCUUGGCCAUACCGCCUACCGGGACCGAGGACCGCGCUUCGGCUAGGAUGCUGGCGUAAUGGUUGUCAACGGCCCGUCUUGAAACACGGACCAAGGAGUCUAACAUCUAUGCGAGUAUUUGGGUGCUAAACCCAUAUGCGUAAUGAAAGUGAACGGAGGUAAGAGCCCUUAAGGGUGCAUUAUCGACCGAUCCUGAUGUCUUCGGAUGGAUUUGAGUAAGAGCAUAGCUGUUGGGACCCGAAAGAUGGUGAACUAUGCCUAAAUAGGGUGAAGCCAGAGGAAACUCUGGUGGAGGCUCGCAGCGGUUCUGACGUGCAAAUCGAUCGUCAAAUUCGGGCAUAGGGGCGAAAGACUAAUCGAACCAUUUGCUACUAGGUGGUUGAAAGAAUUGUUAUUCUAGUCUCUCUUGUGUGAGGCAACACUGUCAAAUUGCGGGGACGUCCUGUUAUACUAAACUACUGCAACACUGUGGAAACACGUGUGCGCACCAGGGUAAUGACCUGGGGAUAGUAACAACGUUUAGGUAGGGAUAAUUCGCAGCCAAGCUCUAAAGAUCUUAGUAUCCAUGAGUGCAGUUCACAGACUAAAUGUCAGUGGGCCUUUGGUAUAUCCAGAGGUUUAAGUUAUAGUCGGACCGUCGGAAAACCGAAAAGCAAGCUGGGAUUUGGAUAGCAUACAAGCUGGAGAUAUAGUCAUAUCUUCAGGCUAUGUGAUGAAAUCUUGCUAGAAUUUGUUAU